UCUCGGUGAUGAGCAGAUGAAGAUGACGAGUCCGAUUUGCUUUCCGUUCCAUUCAAUAAUGACGACAAAAAUGAGGCAUUUGUUUGAGAAAA